UACGAAGGGUGCAAGCGUUAAUCGGAAUUACUGGGCGUAAAGGGUGCGUAGGCGGUUGUUUAAGUCUGUCGUGAAAUCCCCGGGCUCAACCUGGGAAUGGCGAUGGAUACUGGCGAGCUAGAGUGUGUCAGAGGAUGGUGGAAUUCCCGGUGUAGCGGUGAAAUGCGUAGAGAUCGGGAGGAACAUCAGUGGAGAAGGCGGCCAUCUGGGACAACACUGACGCUGAAGCACGAAAGCGUGGGGAGCAAACAGG
rnacentral:rRNA from 1 species